rnacentral:sRNA from 1 species
CUGACAGCCCUAGAGAUUGAAGUCCUCUGUUCACUACAGAACAGGUGCAGCCUAAGCAGCAGUGUUGCAAACUAUCCCCUGCUCCCAUCCCAACUGUAACCUGAAGGCAUCUCUCGGGUGUAAACAGGUGGCUCGCUCUCCAAAGCAUGAUUAUCCUUUUGCUUCC